rnacentral:rRNA from 1 species
AAGGUCUUUAGUGGUCCGCCCCUUCGGGGAGCGGGUCACUGGCCUCCUAUGUUCCUAACGGUCCUCAUCCGCGAGGGUGGGGAAUCAACCGCUAGGAUCGUUUACUUUGAGGAAAUUAGAGUGUUCAAAGCAGGCGUAACUCGCCUCCGAAUACGUUAGCAUGGGAUAAUGGAAUACGACUUCGGUCUUGUUUCGUUGGUUUCGCUUGGCUGAAGUAAUGAUUGAUAGGGACAGUUGGGGGCAUUAGUAUUUAGUUGUCAGAGGUGAAAUUCUAGGAUUUACUAAAGACUGACCAAUGCGAAAGCAUUUGCCAAGGAUGUUUUCAUUAAUCAAGAACGAAAGUAGGGGGAUCGAAGACGAUCAGAUACCGUCGUAGUCUCUACCGUAAACUAUGCCGACCAGGGAUCCGGAGAGUUUGCAUGGAUGACUCCCCGGGCACCUUGUGAGAAAUCAUAAGUGUUUGGGUUUUGGGGGGAGUAUGGUCGCAAGGCUGAAACUUAAAGGAAUUGACGGAAGGGCACCACCAGGAGU